AGGCCGUGAUGUCUAAAUUUUUAUACCAUCAAACUAUGAAAGCUUCAAUUAAUUUGAGCUUAUUGAUGCUAACAAACACUCUGAGCCC
rfam:Morus notabilis contig10321, whole genome shotgun sequence.